GGUCAAUGGCCGGAAGGCUGAACCAGCCAAGCCGCGUGAAGGACGAAGGUGCCAAGCAUUGUAAACUUCUUUUGUCAAGGGACAAAAUCAGGCUCGAGAGCCUGACCGAGGGUACUUGAAGAAAAACGCAUCGGCUAACUCCGUCGCC
rnacentral:rRNA from 1 species